rnacentral:tRNA from 1 species
AAGAAAGUGACAGAGCGGUUAUGUGGUCGGCUUGAAACCGACAUAUGGGGGUUCAACUCCUUCCUUUCUCG